rnacentral:rRNA from 1 species
AUUGAACGCUGGCGGCAUGCCUUACACAUGCAAGUCGAACGGCAGCACGGGUGCUUGCACCUGGUGGCGAGUGGCGCACGGGUGAGUAAUACAUCGGAACAUGUCCUGUAGUGGGGGAUAGCCCGGCGAAAGCCGGAUUAAUACCGCAUACGAUCUACGGAUGAAAGCGGGGGCCCUUCGGGCCUCGCGCUAUCGGGUUGGCCGAUGGCUGAUUAGCUAGUUGGUGGGGUAAAGGCCUACCAAGGCGACGAUCAGUAGCUGGUCUGAGAGGACGACCAGCCACACUGGAACUGAGACACGGCCCAGACUCCUACGGGAGGCAGCAGUGGGGAAUUUUGGACAAUGGGCGAAAGCCUGAUCCAGCAAUGCCGCGUGUGUGAAGAAGGCCUUCGGGUUGUAAAGCACUUUUGUCCGGAAAGAAAUCCUUGGCCCUAAUACGGUCGGGGGAUGACGGUACCGGAAGAAUAAGCACCGGCUAACUACGUG